AUAAGCACAUGUACACCAGGUUUUAGAAAAUCAGAUUAACAGGCUAAACACUCACUGUAUUAAGACCAUGCAUGUGUCCCUAGCCCCUAUUUCUUUCCCUUGGUCUGGUUUUAUAAAUGCUGGUGAUAAAC
rfam:Pteropus alecto contig103423, whole genome shotgun sequence.